AUCCAGAUGACGAGUCCUAAAUGGGACGAAACGCGAGUCCUGCAU
rnacentral:hammerhead_ribozyme from 1 species